rnacentral:miRNA from 1 species
GAUAUUCGACGUCAUAAACACGAUCAACUUUGGUGUUUAUGACGUCGAUAUUCGACGUCAUAAACACGAUCAACUUUGGUGUUUAUGACGUCGAUAUUCGACGUCAUAAACACGAUCAACUUUGGUGUUUAUGACGUCGAUAUUCGACGUAAUAAACACGAACAAGUUUUGUGUUUAUGACGUCGAUAUUCGACGUCAUAAACAGGAUCAACUUUGGUGUUUAUGACGUCCAUAUUCGACGUCAUAAACACGAACAAGUUUGGUGUUUAUGACGGCGAUAUUC